GUCUGAUGGCCGUGAGAUACAAGCUGUUUUUCAGUCUUUCGGUCCCCGCUUUUGUAAAUCUAAUCAGUUUUCCACAUCAUCACAGAUUUUUUUGAAUGACUUGGAAACAAUGUUGAUUCAACCAGUUCUUGCCCAGUGGGAUAUAUAUAUUUUUUUUACAUGUUAUCACGUUUCAAGGUAAAACCCAGAUGCAGACAACAUUGAAUUACCAACAGUAUAUUAAUCCAACAGGGUCAGGCAAGAGACAGCUCAAGGUCAGGCAGGGGUCAGUAAUCCAGAUGGUGGGGAAAAGGUACAGGACGGUAGGCAGUCUCAGGGCAGGCAGAAAAGGUCAAAACCGGGAAAACUAGAAAACAUGAACAAUCGCGAGACAGGAAUAGAGGGAAAAACGCUGGUAGACUUGACGAAACAAAACGAACUGGCAACAGACAAACAGAGAACACAGGUAUAAAUACACAGGGGAUAAUGGGGAAGAUGGGCGAUAAUGGAGACAAUCACAAAGACAUGUGAAACAGAUCAGGGUAUGUAGCCCUACAUUCAUUUGAUGUAAACAUAAGGCUGAGAGAGAAUUUCCUUAUACCAUGUUUUUUGCACCAGUCUCUGCACUAUUCCUUUCAAAUCCAAAUCACAUUGAGAUUGACUUUAUAAUUUUAUCCUAACCCAGUGCUUCCCAAACUUGGUCCUCGGGACCCUAAGGGGUGCAUGUUUGGUUUUUGCCCUAACACUACCCUAGUGUUAGGGCAAAGCUUGAUGAUUAGUUGAUUAUUUGAAUAAGCUGUGUAGUGCUAGUGCAAAAACCAAAACGUGCACCGCUUGGGAAACCCUGACCUAACCUGUGACCUGACCCAUCACUUUAUGUAUCACUGCCCCCCAGUCGCAAGAAGCGACAUAAAAAAAAACACCACAAAAAAACAAUACAACACAAACGGCUUCUAGCAUCCUACGCAUGCUUUCUGUCUCUAACACUAAAACUGAAACUAAAUCAUAUAAAAAUCAUUUUCUACAACUCAAACUAAAUAAAAAUGAGCAAAUCAGGUUUGAAAACUAACUGAAGCUAAACUGAAUUUCU
rnacentral:lncRNA from 1 species